AAGAUUAGACUUAAAUGUUAGGGUCUCGCUGUUCUCCCCUGUUACUCUCAGUCCUGACCUUGGAAUCCGGAGGCGAUUCUACACAUUCAGAGAAAAGCAAGCGCAGGGCUCUCUGGUUAUAGAGUUUAUGUGUGCGUGCGUGCUCGUGAGGACGAGGUUAUUUUAUGGUUGUGUGAGUGUGUGUGUGUGCGCGUGUGCGUGCGUGCGAGAGAUGUGUGGGGUAUCCAAAUAUAGCCAGACUCAGAGAUUGAUGUUCAUUAUUUUAUGAGACAAGGAAAGGAGGAAGCUUUGGUGACUACAGACCUUGUACACACGGAUCUUGAGGAACUUGUGGGGGGUCCCUGUGUGAGAAGAGCACGGAUUGGUCGAAUGACGAGUUUUCGUAUGCUCCAAUGAAAUCCUUCACUGCUCUCUAUUUACUGUGAGCUGGAGCGCAGUAAACCCCCUCCUUCAACAGAUCUAUCGACUGACAGGAGUAGAUCAGCUUUUUGCUUAACCACAUCACGAACAUGAGAAUAUGUACAGUAUGGCCAUAGGAAGGGCAUCGGAGCACGGAUAAAAUUACGGUGCGCGGGCUCGUAUGGGAAGGGAGUCGUAAACCAGAGCGGAUUCUGUGCAUUUCUGCGCGAAUGUGUAGAACUGGAGUCUACUGCACACGGUCCGGCCAUUGGCUACAACAACAUGGACUGUUAGUAAUUAUGGACCAAGCCUGCAACUCAGAUGUCACAUUCAAAGCGUAAGGAAAAGUCUUUCACGAAUCUUUUUGCGGUCUGGGCUUGCUGUUCUCAACUAUCAAUGGGAAGCCCUUACCCCAAAAAGCAUUUGCGGAGGGCACACACAGCGAAUAAUAGAAGAAAGCUCUCUCUUACUUCUGUUCCUCUUGGACUAUCACCAUAUUCAACGUCAGAACGGCAAACAUUGCAAUUCUAAUGAGUACUAUUUUAUUUUUUUUUAACUGGGAAAAAAAAUCCAAGGUUUUACUAUUUUCUUUCUUUUUUGAGUCUGGCACUCCCUUUCAGUAUCAAGUGGCUCCAACCGCGCCUUAUCAAUUUAACGUGAUUUAAUUCUGAAUUUUAACACUGAGGGUUGGGGACUGUAUGCUUACUAUAUAACUAAAAUAAACGAUGCGAUGCUUAACGGUUUUACCAUGUGAAUAAACAACUGAAUUAAAGCACAAAUGCAAUAAAAAUAUUAUUACAUCUUGA